GAUGAACGCUGGCGGCGUGCCUAAUACAUGCAAGUCGAGCGAACGGACGAGAAGCUUGCUUUUCUGAUGUUAGCGGCGGACGGGUGAGUAAAACGUGGAUAACCUACCUAUAAGACUGGGAUAACUUCGGGAAACCGGAGCUAAUACCGGAUAAUAUUUUGAACCGCAUGGUUCAAAAGUGAAAGACGGUCUUGCUGUCACUUAUAGAUGGAUCCGCGCUGCAUUGGCUAGUUGGUAAGGUAACGGCUUACCAAGGCAACGAUGCAUAGCCGACCUGAGAGGGUGAUCGGCCACACUGGAACUGAGACACGGUCCAGACUCCUACGGGAGGCAGCAGUAGGGAAUCUUCCGCAAUGGGCGAAAGCCUGACGGAGCAACGCCGCGUGAGUGAUGAAGGUCUUCGGAUCGUAAAACUCUGUUAUUAGGGAAGAACAUAUGUGUAAGUAACUGUGCACAUCUUGACGGUACCUAAUCAGAAAGCCACGGCUAACUACGUG
rnacentral:rRNA from 1 species